GUGGGGAAUAUUGGACAAUGGGCGCAAGCCUGAUCCAGCCAUGCCGCGUGAGUGAUGAAGGCCCUAGGGUUGUAAAGCUCUUUCACCGGUGAAGAUAAUGACGGAAACCGGAGAAGAAGCCCCGGCUAACUUCGUGCCAGCAGCCGCGGUAAUACGAAGGGGGCUAGCGUUGUUCGGAAUUACUGGGCGUAAAGCGCACGUAGGCGGGUAUUUAAGUCAGGGGUGAAAUCCCAGAGCUCAACUCUGGAACUGCCUUUGAUACUGGGUACCUAGAGUAUGGAAGAGGUAAGUGGAAUUCCGAGUGUAGAGGUGAAAUUCGUAGAUAUUCGGAGGAACACCAGUGGCGAAGGCGGCUUACUGGUCCAUUACUGACGCUGAGGUGCGAAAGCGUGGGGAGCAAACAGGAUUAGAAACCCGGGUAGUCC
rnacentral:rRNA from 1 species